CGAGUGGCGGACGGGUGAGGAAUACAUCGGAAUCUACUCUGUCGUGGGGGAUAACGUAGGGAAACUUACGCUAAUACCGCAUACGACCUACGGGUGAAAGCAGGGGAUCUUCGGACCUUACGCGAUUGAAUGAGCCGAUGUCGGAUUAGCUAGUUGGCGGGGUAAAGGCCCACCAAGGCGACGAUCCGUAGCUGGUCUGAGAGGAUGAUCAGCCACACUGGAACUGAGACACGGUCCAGACUCCUACGGGAGGCAGCAGCU
rnacentral:rRNA from 1 species